rnacentral:rRNA from 1 species
UACGUAGGUGACUAGCGUUGUCCGGAUUUACUGGGCGUAAAGAGCGCGCAGGCGGUCGUUCAAGUCGAGUGUGAAAGCCCCCGGCUCAACUGGGGAGGGUCACUUGAUACUGAUCGACUCGAAGGCAGGAGAGGGAAGCGGAAUUCCCGGUGUAGUGGUGAAAUGCGUAGAUAUCGGGAGGAACACCUGUGGCGAAAGCGGCUCACUGGACCACAACUGACGCUGAGGCGCGAAAGCUAGGGGAGCAAACAGG